GGAACAGGUUGCGGUGGUACUGAUGUAGGAACAGGUUGAGGUGGUACUGAUGUAGGAACAGGUUGAGGUGGUACUGAUGUAGGAACAGGUUGAGAUGGUACUGAUGUAGGAACAGGUUGAGGUGGUACUGAUGUAGGAACAGGCUGAGGUGGUACUGAUGUAGGAACAGGCUGAGGUGGUACUGAUGUAGGAACAGGCUGAGGUGGUACUGAUGUAGGAACAGGCUGAGGUGGUACUGAUGUAGGAACAGGCUGAGGUGGUACUGAUGUAGGAACAGGCUGAGGUGGUACUGAUGUAGGAACAGGCUGAGGUGGUACUGAU